ACUAACUAGGAUUCCCUCAGUAGCGGCGAGUGAACAGGGAUCUGCCCAGCGCUGAAUCGCACCGUCCGAUCAACGGGCGCGAGCGAAGUGUAGUGUUUGGGAGGACCUAUUAACCCGGUGUCGCGGGGCGAGUCCAAGUCCUUCUUGAACGGGGCCACUUACCCACAGAGGGUGCCAGGCCCGUAGGACUGCCGCCGCACGUCGGAGAGGUUCCUCCCCAGAGUCAGGUUGCUUGAGAGUGCAGCCCUAAGCAGGUGGUAAACUCCAUCUAAGGCAAAAUAACACCACGAGACCGAUAGCAAACAAGUACCGUGAGGGAAAGUUGAAAAGAACUUUGAAGAGAGAGUUCAAAAGUACGUGAAACCGUUCAGGGGUAAACCUGAGAAACCCGAGAGUCUGAAACGGGAGAUUCAUCACGUCUCUGAGCCGCCGACGAACACCCGGUGACGAGCGGCCCGAUAGGGUCCAAUCGCACCGCAGCUAGCCGUGCGGCGAAGAAUGUGUGCACUUCUCCCAAAGUAAGAACGUCGCGAGCCGUUGGAUGCCGGUCUAAGGCCCGAUGGGGAGCCCCGGAGUGGCGCGUUCGCGCGCGCAUUCCCGGACCCGCGGAGUCCGGCCGGCGUCUCCGACGGCACAACAAAGGCACGGAGCCGCGAUCGUUCGCGUCCGGCCCGUCACAAGCGCGUCCGGUCACCCGGAACUCGGACCUGGUGCCGAUUCAGGAGCCGGGCGGCUGCUGGUGGCGGUGCUCUCGGACAGCCUCCGCACAUGCCUCUCCGCGACGCUUUAGCUAAGGGUUACUUCUCAGGACCCGUCUUGAAACACGGACCAAGGAGUCUAGCAUGUACGCGAGUCAUUGGGAGUCUUUAAACCCAUUGGCGCAAUGAAUGUGAAGACCGCUUCGCGCGGCUUUUUAGGGAGGAUGGGAAUCCGCACGGAGACCCCGCACUCCCGGGGCGUCUCGUACUCAUCGCGAGUUGAGGCGCACCUAGAGCGCACACGCUGGUACCCGAAAGAUGGUGAACUAUGCCUGGUCAGGACGAAGUCAGGGGAAACCCUGAUGGAGGUCCGUAGCGAUUCUGACGUGCAAAUCGAUCGUCGGAACUGGGUAUAGGGGCGAAAGACUAAUCGAACCAUCUAGUAGCUGGUUCCCUCCGAAGUUUCCCUCAGGAUAGCUGGCGCUCGUUCGGUACGAGUCUCAUCCGGUAAAGCGAAUGAUUAGAGGCAUUGGGGUCGAAACGGCCUCAACCUAUUCUCAAACUUUAAAUGGGUGAGAUCUCCGGCUUGCUUAAAUGUGAAGCCGCGAGAUUCGGAUCAGAG
rnacentral:rRNA from 1 species